rnacentral:rRNA from 1 species
UACGAAGGGGGCUAGCGUUGUUCGGAAUUACUGGGCGUAAAGCGCACGUAGGCGGAUAUUUAAGUCAGGGGUGAAAUCCCAGAGCUCAACUCUGGAACUGCCUUUGAUACUGGGUAUCUCGAGUAUGGAAGAGGUGGGUGGAAUUCCGAGUGUAGAGGUGAAAUUCGUAGAUAUUCGGAAGAACACCAGUGGCGAAGGCGACUUACUGGACACAUAUUGACGCUGAGGUGCGAAAGCGUGGGGAGCAAACAGG